rnacentral:rRNA from 1 species
UACGUAGGGAGCAAGCGUUGUCCGGAAUCAUUGGGCGUAAAGAGCGUGUAGGCGGCCCGGUAAGUCGGUUGUGAAAGUCAAGGGCUCAACCCUUGAAAGCCGACCGAUACUGCCGGGCUAGAAUCCGGAAGAGGCGAGUGGAAUUCCUGGUGUAGCGGUGAAAUGCGCAGAUAUCAGGAGGAACACCGGUGGCGAAGGCGGGUCUCUGGGCCGAUACUGACGCUGAGGAGCGAAAGCGUGGGGAGCGAACAGG